GUUUGUGGCUCAGUGGUGGAGCAUUGGCCUCGCAUGCAUGAGGCACUGGGUUUAAUCCUCAGCAGCACA
rnacentral:tRNA from 1 species